rnacentral:rRNA from 1 species
ACGUAGGGGGCAAGCGUUAUCCGGAUUUACUGGGUGUAAAGGGAGCGUAGACGGCAAGGCAAGUCUGAUGUGAAAACCCAGGGCUUAACCUUGGGACUGCAUUGGAAACUGUCUGGCUCGAGUGCCGGAGAGGUAAGCGGAAUUCCUAGUGUAGCGGUGAAAUGCGUAGAUAUUAGGAAGAACACCAGUGGCGAAGGCGGCUUACUGGACGGUAACUGACGUUGAGGCUCGAAAGCGUGGGGAGCAAACAG